GCCGCACCCUCAGGCGCACCACUGUGCCUUCCGGCGGCAGCCCGCGUCGCCAGCGCCUCCCAAGUUUGGCGGGUUCGGAGCGGAGUCGCGGCUGUUGCUUCUCCGAGCAGUCCCCGUUGCUCCCGCUCGACGGGACAGCAGGUGCUGCGGCUGCAGCGAUGACCGAACAUGUCUCUGUCCAGAAGAAGCCAGCAGCAGCCUACUGGAGAAGACAGAGUAGUAAAGAAUAAGGUGCAAUGCAGUGUGCUGAGUGUCAGAACUCCAGGAGGGGAUCUUGACCUAGUCUUAGAGAAGACUUCAUACACACAGAAAGAAGAAGAACAUUGGGCUAGCACUGUGGUGUAGCAGGCAAGGCCUCUGCCUGUGGCACUGUCAUCCCAUAUGGGUGCCAGUUCAUGUCGUGGCUGCUACUCUUCCAAUCCAGCUCUCUGCUAUGGCCUGGGAAAGCAGUAGAAGAUGGCCCAAGUGCUUGGGCCCCUGCACCUGCGUGGAAGACCCAGAAGAAUCUCCUGGCUCCUGGCAUCAGAUCCACCCAGCUCCAGCUGUUGCAGCCAUUUGGGUAGUGAACCAGUGGAUGGAAGACCUAUUUCUCUGUCUCUCCCUCUCUGUAUCUGUAGCUCUGCCUCUCAAAUAAACAAAUGAAAUCUAAAAAAAAAAAAAACAUUAAACUGAUCUGAACUUUUCUUAUAUUUCUCACAUAUAACAUGUAGAAUUAUUUUACUUUCAUAACAGAAUUUUCUUAUGUUUAUUUGGCUAUGCCACAUAUUAUCUAUGCUCCAACCCUCCUAUCUACCUCAUAGCACAUGCACCCAAGCCAUGUAUACAAAGUUGCAGAUUUCUCUAAAUAAAUAAUAAAUCCAGAUGACUGUAAGCUGGGAGACUUCAGUAUGACAGAGUUUGACUCCUGUUGAUUUCUUGCUGUGUGCUCCUUUACCUCCGUCUCUCUCUCUCGGUUCUGUCUUCAUGAGUUCAGGAAACUCAC